GUGGGUUGGUUCAGUGGUUAGAGCGUAGUUCUCGUAAACGAGAGGUUGCGAGAUCGAAUCCCGCUAGAGGCUUCA
rnacentral:tRNA from 1 species